UGUGUGACAGAAAAUUGUAAAAAUUUUCCGAAGGCUGUACCCAAAGCCCAUGCUGUAAAUGAAAACUGUACGUGCUAUUUUGAAGUAGACGGAAAGAAAAUAGAAACGUUUUUAUGCGACAUAGAGCAUGUUUGCACUGCUGACAAUCCAAUAUACCCAUGCGAGUAUCCUCUGCCAUGCCAAGAAAAGAAGUGUGCAAAGUACCCUGCAGCAAAGUGCUAUAACUACGUUUGUGGAACGUGUAGAGCUGAUUUUUUUGUCGGCAACGUUAACAGGACAGCUGAGUGUGGGUGAUGACUGGUACUUCAAAGAAUCAGGCAAUGUUUGAGAGACACAAAUGAGAAAGGAUUAUCAUCAAGAAGUUUGAAAAUUAAAAAUUAACUUUUUGAAUUGAAAAUAAACUAAUUUGCAUUGAAAAUAAACUCAUUUGAAUUGAAAACACGUUUAGUGGGUUCAGUUCUUCAAUUUGA